rnacentral:rRNA from 1 species
UACUCCUACGGGAGGCAGCAGUGGGGAAUCUUCCGCAAUGGACGAAAGUCUGACGGAGCAACGCCGCGUGAGUGAUGACGGCCUUCGGGUUGUAAAGCCCUGUUAAUCGGGACGAAAGGCCUUCUUGCGAAUAGUGAGAAGGAUUGACGGUACCGGAAUAGAAAGCCACGGCUAACUACGUGCCAGCAGCCGCGGUAAUACGUAGGUGGCAAGCGUUGUCCGGAAUUAUUGGGCGUAAAGCGCGCGCAGGCGGAUAGGUCAGUCUGUCUUAAAAGUUCGGGGCUUAACCCCGUGAUGGGAUGGAAACUGCCAAUCUAGAGUAUCGGAGAGGAAAGUGGAAUUCCUAGUGUAGCGGUGAAAUGCGUAGAUAUUAGGAAGAACACCAGUGGCGAAGGCGACUUUCUGGACGAAAACUGACGCUGAGGCGCGAAAGCCAGGGGAGCGAACGGGAUUAGAUACCCCGGUAGUCCUGGCCGUAAACGAUGGGUACUAGGUGUAGGAGGUAUCGACCCCUUCUGUGCCGGAGUUAACGCAAUAAGUACCCCGCCUGGGGAGUACGACCGCAAGGUUGAAACUCAAAUGAAUUGACGGA